UUGGUCGCUUUCGGUCCGAUGUCGCACACACUUAUUAACUAACAGGAUAAACAUGUGUACUCUGCAGUGUCCUAGGCUCGGUUAUAACCGGAACAAGGACGUUAAGCCCCAACAAUCAAUCAAUGUGUACUCUACAUGUGGACUCUAGUAGGCCGUACGGGCUCACACCUGCGAACGCUUGACCAAGUCGUCCCAUCUACAAAUAUAAUGAGCGCUAAAUAGAUAUUCAUGAUUCUAGAUGAAGUCGCAUCUUUCAAUCAAGCAGCGGUUUCGGCACAAGGGUCUAGAUAUGCUUAGUGGGACAUUUCGGUACGCAUAUCUGCUUUCAAUGGAUGUUUCGGGGCGUUUCGGUACCAACACAAUGCAAGUCUAAGACGUUUCGGUUUUGUUCUGCUUCGGCGCCGUAUUCCGUUAUAUCUUCAAUUAAAGAUGGCGGUUCUAUUACCAGACGAAAUCGAUGUGAAAGAUUGCUUUAUGGAUGAUAGUUGCGUUAAGAUGCCAUUAAGGGCCAUAAUAUUGGCAAUGCUGUAUGGGUUGAUAUUUGAAAUAUUGUCAUGAAUUGGUUCCUGGCUGUUAUUUGGAAUCAUAGACGUUUCGGCACUUGGAUGAUUCGGCACGUUUCUAUUAAUUUUGUUACUUACGUUGAAAAUACAUUUAUUUAGAGAAAAUAUCUCGAGCCCGACACGAUUUGUUCUCUUCCGUUCUUCUGAGAAGAGGUCUUCCGAGUUAUCAAAUCGUGUGUAUUCGGAAGACAACAUGGCGGAUGUGACGAGUGUGUUGACGGGUGUUGGCGUAACACUUUCGUCAAUUCUGCUGAUUGAGGGCCAGGAAGUGGACAGUGCAUUCAAUGAGACAGAUUUAGUCGUUCUAACGGUCGCAGGUGCCACUUUAAUCCGGGAUGAUCGAGUGAAAAUAUGUGGCUAUGUUGAUGUUGUUGAUAACUAUCUACCUGAUCAGUUCAAGAGCUUUCCCGAGAAACUUUUCAGUUUGUCUUAAGAUGUUUAAUGGAUUGUCCUGAGCUUGCCAUGAGUCAGAAGGGGGCUGGCAGACCUCAAAUUCAAUUGGAAAAGGAUCUUCUUAUGUCCCUUUGGUAUAUUGGGUCCCAGGAAAAUAUCAAGUCCAUUGCAGAUCGAUUCAACGUUCAAGAAUCUACAUUUGUUACGCACAACCGCAGGCUACUCAAUGUACUCAGUCAUUCUACAAGCUGUGUGUAAAUAUGACCGUGUCUUCACAGACAUAUAUUGCGGAUCUUCUUAUGUUGUAUCGUACUCGCUUCCUGAAGUGUACAUAAUGGUUUCAUCACAUGAGCUGAUGCGACCUGAAAUUAAUGUUGUUUUUUUUACUAUAACAGUCGGAGUAUUAUGUAAGUACAGUAUUUAUACAGUCGACAUUAGGGAUAGACGAAAAUAGCAUGAAUUUAUAUCCUACACUACAACUGCAGGCGAUUUAGAUUCACUGGAGAUAUUUUACUAGUCGCUCUACUUCGCAUACAAUGGUAAUUCGUUAAACGUGUUAACAUAUGUAUACAAACUCAUAUUAAACUUUAUCAUUUUUUCAUUUUUUUUCAACAAGUUUGGUGAUUGCAUUUGUCAUAUCCUUUAGUAAAUUUAUUUGUUCUUCAUGCCUCCUUUCCUGUCGUUUACGGGAUUCAUCAACUGAUUCCGUAUACUUCUCCAGACACACUUUUCCUUUUCUUUUCCCAUUUCUUUUCGUUUUGUACCUUGCUCAGGGGAUGUGUCUACGUCGCUGUCUGACCCAAUCGACGCUGAUGCAGCUGCAGUUGAAGAUGACGAGGUUGCAGGUGCUGAUGAUGCAAACAAAAAUGUAGGAGUUGUUGAAUGGUUUUCACCCAUUAUAUCAUCCAUUUCUGCUUCAUAAUCGUAGGUUUUUCUUCCUUCCCCAGUCUGCUUUUGGCAGUCUUUGAAGUGGCGGUAACGGGCUAAUACUGUUUUCCAUUUCCCUUCCACCUGUGUACUGACAAAAUUAGAGUUGGUCGUGGCGUUUAUAAAGUUUGUCAUUUCCUCCCAUAACCUUUUAUUUUUAAAAGCUGGGUUAUGGAAUCGGUCUUGCAUGUUUUUAUACUCAGCCAACAACUCUCGUUUUUGUGUCGUUCCAAAUGUUGUUGGCCAUGGGUGUACUGCUGAUGGAUGUGGCGAUGUUUGAAUUUGAUGAACUUUCCAUGGCUUCUGGUCCUGAAAUUGGAGACAUAAAUUUUAAAAAUACAAAAAGUUUUAACGUUAUAAUUAAGAACUAGAUCUAGGCCUAGUCCGCAAAUACAUCUAGGCCUAGUCCGCAAAUACAUGCGAGUGACAUGAUCCACUUUAUAGUGUAAUUGAAAUAUCUUUUGGGUGGGUAGUUACUAGUAUUUUCAUGAUUUUGAUGGUUACGUAAGGAAAUGGGAAACAAAGAUUUUAGGGGCGAGGAAGUUAGGCGACACACCUUUUACUAAUUAAUGUAUGUUAGGGAUGGAGGUGUUAGCAAUGAUGCACUUUAUAAUAUAAUUAGAAGUAAUGCCUCUUUGACCCUGCCUCCCCUUUCAUUGCAUAUAUACAUGUAUAUUAUUAUUUGUCUGUUUAAAAAAAAACAUGCUUGGGCUUGGUCGAAACAAUAUGCUGACAUUCUGGUCGAAUUUGAUCUUAUGAAAUCUGAAAAUGUGUUCAUAAAUCAUUAAAUGAUCUGAUAGUUUAAAUUUCCCUUGAUACACAAUGUAUUAAAUACAACUUUUAGUUGAAGUUAAAUAAUAUUUUAAUUGUAACAUAAUAAAGUUUUGUGCGGGCACGUGCCUGAAGUGCAUAAAGGCCGCUACGACGAUCCUGGCUCUAAUAUCAGUCUAAUAUUAGGUCCCUAGUCCGUUUAAAUCUUAAGUGACAUAACAUUCAUAAAAUAUAACUUAUCUGCACAAUCAUGUGCAUCAAAUGCUGAGAGAGUGUAGAAGUGGACAUUGCAUUCUGAGCAUUUGUAUACUGUGUCCGCCAUGUUUUCUUCUGGGUCUUCUAGCUUUGCAGCGGAAGUACUUUGAUUUUUAAGUAGCACGCUUUUCUAACCAACGUAUCUUUUGGCAAAGCUGGCACCUUCUAAUAUAGAAUUCGUUGAAGCCUGAAUCAUCCAGUGAUUUCUUUUGUUUGGAGUUGGGUGUAAUCUUGGAAGCUGAAGUAAAUUUGACAUCGUAUUUGAUACGAUUCCGGAACAUGCGAUCCUCAUUACAUUGUGGUCCAACUGAUUCGAAUGUCUUGAAUAGUUUUUUCUUGGCUCUCCGUGAACAACUUAUCUGGAUUGACCAAGAAUUCUGCUUAGGCAUUCUCAGCUUAGCUCCGAGUCCAAAUUUGCAGGAAAGUUGUUUGUCUGUAGUACUUGAUGUUCCCUGUCGAUAGUAAUGAAGUCUUUGCAUGUUGAUGACAUCCAAAAAUGACUGAGGACCUUUGUUUGGCUCCAAACUUUCUGCCUGAGGGAAACAGCGAUUUCUUGCGUAGUAAUCACUUACUUUAUAUAACAGCAGAAGCAACUUUCGUCAUUCAAGGCCAGGGUCGUUUAGUUUUGCAAUCCUCUUGAAACGAAUCGAGGAGUACCAUCGAAAUGCUUGACAUGUUUCAGCUGAUGGCACACCACGAUUGAGUCGAGUGUGGUGGAAAAAAUCGCAUCUGAAUCAUCAUAAAUAGUGAAUUUGACUUUGCAUUUAAGGCAAUCGUAGUAUUCCCAAUGGCCUUGUGAAGACACACGAAUCUGAUUAUACAGACAAUACUCUCAAAGAUCCAUUUUGUUGUUGCAAAUCCUCAAUUGUUAAGGAUGCUUUCCUUUUUAAAUCAGUGUCAUGCAGAUCCAAUGGAUCAUUUUCCGAUACAGGCAAUUCUGAUUGAAUUUCAUCAGCAGCAUUCCUGAUGAGUUCCUUAGAAAAGAAUACAGUAACGGGGCCAGGAACAGAUUGAUCUAGGGCAUUCAUUUAGAUACUUACAGAUUAGCACUUUAUUCAAAAUUUAGAGUUUGGUUUGAUUUAUUUUGUUUAAUGUCCUAUUAAUUCAAAAUUUAGAGAAGGCUAGGUUUAUUAUUUAAAAAGAAUUUUUAUAUGACGUUUCACGACGGGCAAAUCGGAUCUGGAAAAUUCCACGAAACUUAAAUUCAAUUAAACGGAAAUCCAUUUCUGCCGUGGGUGAUCCAUCGCAACCUGGGUACAUUUCGUUAAAGGCUGGUCUGGUAGUGGUUUUGGUUUUAUUUGUUUAACGUCCUAUCAAUAGCUAAGGACGGCCUCCAGUGCGUGCGAUACGCAUGUGUGUGAUAAGUGCGUAUGUGUGUUUUGGGAGGCUGCGGUAUGUUUGUGUUGAAGUCUCCUUGUGAUAGGCCGGACCUUUUGCCGAUUUAUAGUUCCCUGGUAGUUGUACUGUAUAUCUAGUGUAAGGUUGAUUUUGCCAUUUAAACUCGUUUUCGUAGUGCUGAUUUUGGUUUCAAUUUUAAUAGCAUAUACCUAUAUAGUAAUAUGUAAUGUAUGUAAUUUAAUUUAAGUAAUUAUCAAAUAAACGGAAACUGCUCUU